CAACCGACCCUUGGCAGAAAAGACAUUUUGACUGAUCAGUCUCCCCUAGUUGGUCAAAAAAGUGCCUCGGACUACACCAAAGCGCCGAGACGUAAUACUUCUCCCCAACAGCAGUAUAU